CACGUAGGGGGCAAGCGUUGUCCGGAUUUAUUGGGCGUAAAGAGCUCGUAGGCGGUUCGGUAAGUCGGGUGUGAAACCUCCAGGCUCAACCUGGAGACGCCACCUGAUACUGCCAUGGCUUGAGUCCGGUAGGGGAGUGUGGAAUUCCCGGUGUAGCGGUGAAAUGCGCAGAUAUCAGGAGGAACACCAGUGGCGAAGGCGGCUGCCUGGGCCAGUUCUGACGCUGAGGCGCGAAAGCGUGGGGAGCAAACAGG
rnacentral:rRNA from 1 species